rnacentral:tRNA from 1 species
GAGGGCAUAGCUCACUGGUAAAACAUGUGCUUACUAUGCACAAGGUCCUGGGUUCAAUCCCCAGAACCUCCA